rnacentral:rRNA from 1 species
UACGUAGGGUGCGAGCGUUGUCCGGAAUUACUGGGCGUAAAGGGCUCGUAGGUGGUUUGUCGCGUCGUCUGUGAAAUUCUGGGGCUUAACUCCGGGCGUGCAGGCGAUACGGGCAUAACUUGAGUGCUGUAGGGGUAACUGGAACUCCUGGUGUAGCGGUGAAAUGCGCAGAUAUCAGGAGGAACACCGAUGGCGAAGGCAGGUUACUGGGCAGUUACUGACGCUGAGGAGCGAAAGCAUGGGUAGCGAA